rnacentral:rRNA from 1 species
UACAGAGGGUGCGAGCGUUAAUCGGAAUUACUGGGCGUAAAGCGUGCGUAGACGGUUAUUUAAGUCGGGUGUGAAAGCCCCGGGCUCAACCUGGGAAUUGCAUUCGAGACUGAAUAGCUAGGGUACGGUAGAGGGAAGCGGAAUUUCCGGUGUAGCGGUGAAAUGCGUAGAUAUCGGAAGGAACAUCAGUGGCGAAAGCGGCUUCCUGGACCAGUACCGACGUUCAGGCACGAAAGCGUGGGGAGCAAACGGG